CAGUCGCCGCGGGAAAACGUAGGUGGCAAGCGUUGUCCGGAUUUAUUGGGCGUAAAGCGAGCGCAGGCGGUCAAUUAAGUCUGAUGUGAAAGCCCCCGGCUCAACCGGGGAGGGUCAUUGGAAACUGGUUGACUUGAGUGCAGAAGAGGAGAGUGGAAUUCCAUGUGUAGCGGUGAAAUGCGUAGAUAUAUGGAGGAACACCAGUGGCGAAGGCGACUCCCUGGUCUGUAACUGACGCUGAGGCUCGAAAGCGUGGGUAGCAAACAGGAUUAGAUACCCCCGUAGUCCCUGUCUCUUAUAC
rnacentral:rRNA from 1 species